CUCCAAGCUCCAUAUUCUGUCAGCAGUCAGUCUCCUGGCUAGAGUUGAGUCACAUUGUAUAAAUACAAAAUGUUAAAUGAGAAUCAUAAGGGGGUUAAUAAUGCUUUCUGGAGAAUGUAACAUCUUCCUCCAGAUAGAUGGCUCUGGUUUGAAAUAAGUUCAGUCUGCUUUCUGAGCCCUAAGAGAUUUCUUUCCCUGGCUCUCUUUGUUGGACUGGGUCACUUUCUGGCAUUGAUCAGGCAUUGUGUUAUCUUUUCCUGUUUCCUAAUUGUUACUGACUAUUACAGCUCUGGAAAUGAAAGUUCAAUUUGCACAGAGAGCCCAGUGGGUGAAUCAGACAAUGACAAACACAAAGAAUAUUUAUUGAGUUAUAUCUUCGUUUAUUACAUAAAAGAAUGUUCCUACUAUUAUUGCUAAUCUUAUUAGGAGUGUUUGUUACAUACAAUGUUCCACAUAACAUAUGUCACAACAUGCACAACCAUUCAAGCACAAGUCCUGUCAGCACAUUUGCACACCCACUGCCCUGUGAUGGCAGAACAAGCACUACUCAGUCAUCAGUCACUCCAUGUGGCAAUACCAAGGAAAUCAUGAUCCCGCUGACUUGGGUGAGAAUCCUUGCUGAUGGUGGUGGGCACACAGGGUACAGUGACCAGUAAUGACUGCCUAUGUGCUCCUCUGCCUCUGGCAAUCAGCAAAGGCAGGCUGUCCUCUUCUCUCCAAGUGGCAGUCAAGAAUCCCAAGAGGUUUUCUUGGGAUGAAGAACUUUCCCGGUGCUCACCUACCACCCUCUAUGCUUGUAUUGGUGAUGUCCCAUCUAGGUGCCAUGUGGAUCAACAGCCAGGUUUAUUACUGAGCAUGACAUCAUAUGGUAUGGGAUAUCCUUUUGGCCAGUCUAGGUCAGUUGUCCUGGCUCUUUCACCUCCCAUGUCCUUGGCUCCCUGCAAGCGCUGUUCAGCAGCAACUGUAACACUGACUGUUUUUACCACAAGCAUACCAGCUUGUUACAGCACCAAUAUGGCACCAUACCAGCUACUAUGAUGAAAAUUAACUGUACAUAGCCCAAACCAAUGCAAUAUCUGUCCUUUACAGAUUUCUGGUGUCAUGGAAAUGCCCUACAGGUAGUCCUCCCCACCGACAUACUAAGGUAAUUCUUAUAAGAAAUAAAAAUAAAAUAAUUCUUUUGU
ensembl:lncRNA